UACGGAGGGUGCAAGCGUUAUCCGGAUUCACUGGGUUUAAAGGGUGCGUAGGCGGGUAUAUAAGUCAGUGGUGAAAGCUCCGAGCUUAACUUGGAAACUGCCAUUGAUACUGUAUAUCUUGAAUGUCGUUGAGGUUAGCGGAAUGUUGCAUGUAGCGGUGAAAUGCUUAGAUAUGUUACAGAACACCAAUUGUGAAGACAGCUAACUAAGCGAUAAUUGACGCUGAGGCACGAAAGCGUGGGGAGCAAACAGG
rnacentral:rRNA from 1 species